rnacentral:lncRNA from 1 species
GACAACGGCUCACGUGUGCAGAACUUUGCCCUGGACCUGACGCCCCCGCCUGAGAUUGUCUAUAAGUCAGAGCCUGGUACGAGUGACGGCAUGAACGUGCUAGGCAUCGUCAUCUUCUCGGCCACUAUGGGUAUGCGUUGGCUCUGCUCCAGGCAGUGCCCUCCCAACAUUCCAGGCCCUUCUUCCCUGCCCUUCCUAAGUGGCUCUAAGCCCUGCUCAUGCUGAGAAUUCCUCCCCCUGGGGUUACCCUCCUCCCUCCAGUCCAGCCCUCAGCCCCUCCCACAAGUCUGCUAUUGGACCUUUCACUGAAGCCAUGAGCCGAUGAGGAGGGAUUGUCACUGUUGGUAAAGACUUUCAUCCUACAUUCUAGGCUUUUCUCCAGCUGCCUCUCUCUACAGAGCUUCUGUGUCGUUUCUUGAGGUGCACAGUGGCCUUCCUGAGCAUGUCUUUCCCUUUGCAACUAUUUUCUACGUCUCCAAAGUCCCCUCCAACCACAAUGAUUUGCUAUAAGCCACUAAGGGUGUGACUUGGGGGUUCCUUAUUUGUAUGUGAACCUUCAAAGGCACAUUGAAGUUGUUGUGGGGGUCGUUUUAUAUUCCUGGGUUUGUGAUUUAAACUUUUUCUUUACUUUU